UACGUAGGGGGCAAGCGUUGUCCGGAAUUAUUGGGCGUAAAGAGCGCGUAGGCGGUCCGGUAAGUCGGUUGUGAAAGUCGGGGGCUCAACCCUCGGAUGCCGAUCGAUACUGUCGGGCUAGAGUCCGGAAGAGGCGAGUGGAAUUCCUGGUGUAGCGGUGAAAUGCGCAGAUAUCGGGAGGAACACCAGUGGCGAAGGCGGCACUCUGGGCCGGAACUGACGCUGAGGAGCGAAAGCGUGGGGAGCGAACAGG
rnacentral:rRNA from 1 species